CUUGGAAGCAGAGGCUCGCUGAGGCCUGCGGCGGAGGGACAGGGAGCGGGGGCCACACUUGCACCCUAACCUCUCACCGGCAGCGGCCCAACCUCCAGAAACGUGACCUCGUCUGACUCCCGGAUUCUGGACCAAGCAGUUCUGGACCAGCCAACAACCAAGCAGGACUCAAACUGACACCCAGGAGGUAGCAAGUACCAACUUCGCAAAGGAAGAGCCAGAAUGGGGCAGCUGAUGCCUCCAGCCCUUCAACAUCAGACUCCAGGUUCUUCAGUUUUGGGACUCAGACUGGCUCUCCUUGCUCCUCAGCUUGCAGACAGCCUAUCGUGGGACCUUGUGAUCGUGAAUUACCCAGCGGGGACCAUUGGUGAGCAGGAAGAGAACCACCUGUCAUCCUCCUUCUCCCUGCCCCCUGCCACCACAGCAAAGACAGGUGGGCCUGAUCCUCCCAUGUGAGCAGAAAUAAACUAACAAAGAAGUAAAAAGACUUGAGGAACUUUCACAAGUCUGUGCCAUGAAACAGGAUAGAAGGAACAGCAUGAAAAUCAAGAUACCUAGAAACAGGCAGUUAACCUAAUUCAGUUCACCAAUUUGAGAAAUUCUUCAAGUGUCUCUGCUCCAAAUUGAAUAAUUUUCCAAUUUCCUCCUUAAGAAGCCUUCCCUGUUGAUGAUGUGGUUACAAUGACCUGAGUUGAGGUCCAUGCAGAGUUGAGCCAAUAAAACAUAGUGGAUCAGUGAGAGAGACUCAGAGGCAAGUACAACUGUCCUUCAUAUCCACGGGUCCUUCAUAUCCAUGGGUUCUGCAACCAUGGCUUCGACCAAUGGCAGCUCCAAAAUAUUCAGAAAAAAAAAAACAAUAAAAAAAAUAACAGUACAACAAUAAAACAAAUACAUAUGAAACUAUAGUAUAACAACUAUUUACAUAGUAUUUCCAUUGUAUUAGGUAUCAUAAAUAAUCUACAGAUGAUUUAAAAUACAUGCCGCCUGGACUGGUCACAGUGGCUCACACCUGUAAUCCCAGCACUUUGAGAGGCCAAGGAGGGAGGAUCACUUGAGCAAAGGAGUUCAAAACCAUCCUGGGAAAUACAGCGAGACCCUGACUGUACAUGAAAAAUUUUAUUUUAAUUAGCUGGGCAUGUUAAUGCACACCUACAGUCCCAGCUACUCAGGAGGCUGUAAGAGGAUCACUUGGGCCCAGGAAUUCAAAGCUGCACUGAACUAUGCUCACACCGCUGCGCUCUAGACUGGGCAACAGAGCAACACCUUGUCUCUAAUAAAUAAAAUAAAAUAAAGUAUACAGGAGGAUGUGAGUAGGUUAUAUGAAAGUAUGUGCCAUUUCACAUAAGAGACUUGAGCAUCCCUGAAUGCCACUGUAUGCCUACCUCUAGGGAAGGCAGCAGUUUGGCUGAUGAACAUCCAAGGAUUUUAUCUGCACUUCUUGAGCAGAGCAAUGUGGGCCAGAACGGGACCACAGUGCGGGCAUGCAUGGGUGCCGAUUCGAGGGUGACAUAUCUGUCAUCCUAGUAGGGACGUGAUUGUAUUAGUCUGUUCUCAUGCUGCUAAUAAAGGCAUACUCCAGACUGGGUAAUUUAUAAAGGAAAGAGGUUUAAUGGGCUCACAGUUCCACAGGGCUGGGAGGCCUCACGAUCAUGGCAGAAGAAAAAGGAAGAACAAGGGGAAGUCUUCCAUGGUGGCAGGCAAGUGAGCUUGAGCAAGGGAACUCUUCUUAUAAAACCAUCAGGUCUUGGGACACGUAUUCACUAUCACAAGAACAGCAUAGGAAAAACCCGCCCCCAUGAUUCAAGUACCACUCACCAGGUACCCCCAUGACAUGUGGGAAUUAUUACAAUCAAAGGUGAGAUUUGGGUGGGAACACAGCCAAACCAUAUCAAUGAUCUGUAUCUGAAGAAAGUUAUUUCCCUUCCUUUCUACACAUAAGUAACUUUCUUGUCUGUUCCAUACUUUUUAACGUAGAAAAUGUCUUUCUGGUUACCCACUUAGUUGCUUUCUAAACUAACAUUUUUCAAGAACUCUGCUUGUAUUUUGCAAGCUGAUAGAUUAAUCAUUAUGUGUAUUUAACAUCUUUUAUAAAUUUUCACCCAUCCCAUUUAUUUCCUUUCCUCUAUAAUGGAAUUAAAUACUCUCCAACAGUGCAAAAAA